AUUGAACGCUGGCGGCAGGCCUAACACAUGCAAGUCGAACGGGAGCACAGAGAGCUUGCUCUCGGGUGACGAGUGGCGGACGGGUGAGUAACGUCUGGGAAACUGCCCGAUGGAGGGGGAUAACUACUGGAAACGGUAGCUAAUACCGCAUAACGUCGCAAGACCAACGUGGGGGACCUUCGGGCCUCACACCAUCGGAUGUGCCCAGAUGGGAUUAGCUAGUAGGUAGGGUAAUGGCUCACGUAGGCGACGAUCCCUAGCUGGUCUGAGAGGAUGACCAGCCACACUGGAACUGAGACACGGUCCAGACUCCUACGGGAGGCAGCAGUGGGGAAUAUUGCACAAUGGGCGCAAGCCUGAUGCAGCCAUGCCGCGUGUAUGAAGAAGGCCUUCGGGUUGUAAAGUACUUUCAGCGGGGAGGAAGGCGGUGAAGUUAAUAACUUCACCGAUUGACGUUACCCGCAGAAGAAGCACCGGCUAACUCCGUGCCAGCCACCGCGGUAA
rnacentral:rRNA from 1 species